rnacentral:rRNA from 2 species
AGAAAAUUUUCAACGGUGGAUAUCUAGGUUCCCGUGACGAUGAAGAACGCAGCGAAAUGCGAUACGCAAUGCGAAUUGCAGAAUCCGCGAGUCAUCAGAUCUUUGAACGCAAGUGGUGGAGGUGUAAAAACCUUCAUGUUUGUUUCAGUGUGGAA